rnacentral:rRNA from 1 species
GACGAACGCUGGCGGCGUGCUUAACACAUGCAAGUCGAACGGAAAGGCCCUGCUUUUGUGGGGUGCUCGAGUGGCGAACGGGUGAGUAACACGUGAGUAACCUGCCCUUGACUUUGGGAUAACUUCAGGAAACUGGGGCUAAUACCGGAUAGGAGCUCCUGCUGCAUGGUGGGGGUUGGAAAGUUUCGGCGGUUGGGGAUGGACUCGCGGCUUAUCAGCUUGUUGGUGGGGUAGUGGCUUACCAAGGCUGUGACGGGUAGCCGGCCUGAGAGGGUGACCGGCCACAUUGGGACUGAGAUACGGACCAGACUCCUACGGGAGGCAGCAGUGGGGAACAUUGCACAAUGGGCGGAAGCCUGAUGCAGCAACGCCGCGUGCGGGAUGACGGCCUUCGGGUUGUAAACCGCUUUCGCCUGUGACGAAGCGUGAGUGACGGUAAUGGGUAAAGAAGCACCGGCUAACUACGUG